rnacentral:lncRNA from 1 species
ACCGUGGUGCGAUCUUACUGAGCUGUGAAAUUUGAUGAAUACAUACACAUUACACUGUGUAAAUAUUUUAAAAAAAUUUAAAAUGACGUAAUGUAGGUGACACAUUACUUUUUGUUACCUGUUCUUAUAACAAGCACUUGAAGUUGCAGCACUGCCACCGCCACCUCCACCACCUAUUUCUUCCGAAUCGGUGGCAACACCUUCCACACCGCCAAUCGAUGGAUUCCGAUCCCAAAUCUUCCACAUCACUAGCCCCAAACCCUAACUCUAGCAACAUGGAAUUUGGUCGCACACAAACAUCCUUAAAACCUCCAUCACUGCUUCUUAUGAUGCCAAUUCCCUUCCCCUUUCUUUCCUUCUUCCACAAUCAUAUUCCCCCUCUCAAAUUCUUUUCUUUUUCAACUCUAAACUUCAAA